AGGGGAGAUCACAGUUUAAAUGCAUUUGGAGUUCUCACCUUACUGUAAUUUACUCUGCAAGGAUUAGAGCCAAUUUCUCUACUUCGGAGCUGUUCUUAGUGUCAAAGCUGACUGCUUUGCAGACUGUUAGAGUUGUGAAGAAAACAUUUAAAUAUAUUGAAUGGGUGUAAUAGAUAACAUCUGCAGAAAAUAUUCCUAAAAGAUGAUGCUGAACUGGUUGCAAGUAUAGUGAAAGUAAUGUAUCUGCCUGCUGCCCCUGAAUAUAUUUUCAUUUAUCCAUCCUGGUCAACCAAAAAAAUCUGUAUCAGGAUGCUUCACACAGAGCAAUAAAAUUAUAUCUGCUGUGAAGAUGGAGCAGGUAGGAUGCAUCGUUCUUCAAAUACUUCUCUGAAUGCUUUCUUAUGAAGGACUCUCCCAGCGCACUGAUGUAGCACUCUUGAUGAGGGUGUCAUUCAUUCUAGCUCAGGCAAUACCUGGAGUAAUACAGACCAGAAAUUUAGGUUCUGUCUUAGCAGUAUAAAUACCAUUAUUUCCACUUAACAAGCAAUAUUGUACAUCGACUUUAACACAGAAAAUUUAUAUAUCAUAUGUUAACAAGGGGAGAUGUUUAGUGUUCUUCAUGUGGUUGUGAUUCUAUUUCAGUUCCAUGGGAAAAUCAACCAGAAAGUCAUCAGGUACUGAUAUGGGGAAUGUAUAUGUCGAAAAAUAUAUGUAUAUAUAGUGUGAAAUGGUCAAAAAAAAUCCUUAUUUCCUGUAUCUCCCACUAUUGAGCUGCAACUGCAUACUCAAGUAUUUUCACAGAUGCUGCUAACAAUAAUUUUGUUCAUAAUCGUGUUUAUCUUAACAACAGAAUUGAUACAUGGAAUUUAUGUGUAUUUAUAUAGUUGACAAGAAUAUUUCCUAAUUUGCGAAUGAGAUAUCUAAACUGAAUUCUGAGGAUUAGCAUGGGCUUGGCUGUAUGCUGUUAUGUUAACAAAGAAACUGUUAAGAUGCGGUGGUGAAAGAGACUAAUGGCAGCUGCUACUUGAGACAAGAUAAAGCCUUUUCAUGUCUAAAAAGGUGUCAAACUCUGCCAUGUUGUAUCAGUAGAUAAAAGGGAAACUGCAGUUAGAAUAUUACUGGGAGUUGUUGCAAACCGAAGUGCUGCUGGUGGAACCUAAACUCAGCGCUAGAUUUAGCGCUUUUCCCCUCAGGAAAGAAAACAACUGUUUCAAGAAAAACAAAAUGAUGACGGGUGGCAGAACCACUCUCACACAGUUCUCUUCCUCCUAUCCAUCACUGUGGCUACUGCCAGUACUGAGCUGAAUUUAAGACUAUAAAUAAAACCACAAAACUUUUAGAAGUUCUAUAAACCAAAGCUUUAUCUUUAUCUCCUGAAAGGAUUUUCCUCAUAGGGUUUGGGGAGACCUUGAUCACCGAGCAUAGCUGGAAAAACAGAUAUCCUUAGAAAAUUUGGCUCAAAGAAAACCAUUGACUGCACUCAUGUACUGAUGGAUAGUUGAAGUGAAUUGGAUGCCUGACUGAAAUACAACAAGCUAGCUUCACGGGUAAUUAUAAUGCACAGUAAAUGUGUUGAAGUAUCU
ensembl:lncRNA